rnacentral:rRNA from 1 species
GUGCCAGCCGCCGCGGUAAUACGUAGGUGGCAAGCGUUGUCCGGAAUCAUUGGGCGUAAAGGGCGCGCAGGCGGUUCGGUAAGUCGGUCUUAAAAGUGCGGGGCUUAACCCCGUGAUGGGAUUGAAACUGCCGGACUGGAGUGUCGGAGAGGAAAGCAGAAUUCCUAGUGUAGCGGUGAAAUGCGUAGAUAUUAGGAGGAAUACCAGUGGCGAAAGCGGCUUUCUGGACGACAACUGACGCUGAGGCGCGAAAGCCAGGGGAGCGAAACGGAUUAGAUACCCCGGUAGUCCUGGCCGUAAACGAUGGAUACUAGGUGUAGGAGGUAUCGACCCCUU